rnacentral:rRNA from 1 species
CAGUCGCCGCGGUAAUACAGAGGGUGCAAGCGUUAAUCGGAAUUACUGGGCGUAAAGCGCGCGUAGGUGGUUUGUUAAGUUGGAUGUGAAAUCCCCGGGCUCAACCUGGGAACUGCAUCCAAAACUGGCAAGCUAGAGUAUGGUAGAGGGUGGUGGAAUUUCCUGUGUAGCGGUGAAAUGCGUAGAUAUAGGAAGGAACACCAGUGGCGAAGGCGACCACCUUGACUGAUACUGACACUGAGGUGCGAAAGCGUGGGGAGCAAACAGGAUUAGAUACCCGUGUAGUCCCUGUCUCUUAUAC